rnacentral:rRNA from 1 species
AACGAACGUUGGCGGCGUGGAUUAGGCAUGCAAGUCGAACGCGAAUCCCUGGGCAACUGGGGAGGAGAGUGGCGAAAGGGGCAGUAAGGCGUGGGUAACCUACCCUCCGGGCCGGGAUAGCUUCGGGAAACUGAAGGUAAUACCGGGCGACGCAGCGAGAUCGCAUGGUCUUGCUGCCAAAGGUCCGCCGCCGGGGGAGGGGCUCACGUGGUAUUAGCUAGACGGCGGGGUAACGGCCCACCGUGGCAAAGAGGCCUAGCAGGUGUGAGAGCACGACCUGGGCCACUGGCACUGAGACACUGGCCAGACACCUACGGGUGGCUGCAGUCGAGGAUCUUCGGCAAUGGGCGCAAGCCUGACCGAGCGACGCCGCGUGUGCGAUGAAGGCCUUCGGGUUGUAAAGCACUGUCGAGGGGGAGGAAGCCGCAAGGUUGACCUAUCCCUGGAGGAAGCACGGGCUAAGUUCGUG